AAAUUGCAGAAGGCGGCUGUGGUUGGGCCACGUGUGAUUCAUGGUAUAUUUGGGCUAAAACGCGGUGUGGGACAGAAAGCUAGACUAAGGCCAUAUUGAUGACACGACUGCAUGUCAGGAUAAGGAGCUGGGAACAAGGUAAUGGAGAGGGGACAGGAGACUUGAUGGCAAAUUUUGCCACUUUAUUCCGUACUGUAGGAAAAGUGCAAAAUUGGACAGAUACUGACGAUCCUGAAUCACAAGUCGGUCAGAAAGGGCUGAGAAAACCUUAAAAUAUUAUGCAGGGGUGUUUUGUUUUGUUUUGUUUUGUUUUGUUUUGUUUUUAUUUGGUGACACAGCUGAAUGCCCUUAUCCCAGAAAUCUGAGCAGACUUCCGCAAGCCAGGCUGAAGAUCAGUGACCAACUCCUUCCCCACUUGCUCGGGUUUCCUACUUGCAAAACUUCACCAGAGGACACUGAGAACACAUUUGGGCUUCUCAGCCUACGCAGAACAGCUUAAAGUGUUUAUUCAUGAGGGAAGAACUGGGUGCCCCGUGGUCCCUGGGUGGAGGGAGACAGCUCAUCUUGAAAUGACUCACCCUUGGCCUCCCCAGGCCACAUGAUACCUUCAUUUUCAGUAACAGCCAUUUACGCCGCUGAUUUGCCUAAUGUCACCUGCAAAUGCCCCAGUUCCCGAGGCUACUGCGGCCAGAGCUCCCGCUUUGGGCUCAGGUCUGCAGCUGGGCAGUUGGCUUAAAGGGGGAAGGGGCACCCCAGUGACCUGUGGCUACAGCCCUGGGCUCCAGUCCUGCCUCCGCCACAGUUCCCCCGCGUGACCUUGGCAAAGUCCCCUCUUUCUGUGUGCAGCUGUGUCCUCGCCACCACCCACCUUGAGGGCCGGGCCGGAUCGGCCCUCCUGGGAACAGUCACCUCAUUCCCUCCUGGGAGGCAUCAUCGUAUCCGAGCACGCCUUACUAUCCACGUACAAUGGACGUUUCCCGGAAGUCGACUCACUGUUGAGACACAGCAGUGGAUGUCACUCGGCCAUUUCGUGAACGGGGUGCCAUGCGGAUCAUCCCACGGUCUCCCGGGUGUGUGUACGCGGCGUGUGGGUGUGCGCCACCAGGGACGAUUGUAACCCAUCGUUAGCAGGUUUGUGCCCCUGCCACACGGGAUGCCCUUCCUGGAAAGGUCACUUCCGGCCUCCCGAUCUCUAAACCCACGGCUCCUAUUUAUUCGGCCCUCGUUGACCUGACUCCCAGCCCCCUUGAAAUGUCCCUCGAAGUGUUCUCUGUCCUGGGGCUCUGUGACCCCACCUCGUCUUUUUCUCUUUUCUGUUCUUCAGCAAGAAUUGGUGGCUUCAUAUCUGGUUUUGAAAGGUAACAUUUCCACUUAAUAGAAAUUCAAAGCCCCGUGAGUCAUCACUUCUUUGUAGGUCCAUGUGGCUUGGAAGCAAGUUUACGGCACCAAGCGUUCCACGACAGAAGGGGAAGCGUUUUGAGUAUUUUCCAGAGGGCACGGGAAGCCCCUCAACCACCAGAGCCCCGUGUGUCACAGUGCACAGUUCGGUGGUAUUAAAUAACUCGCGCCUGGGUGGCUCAGCUGGUUGAGUUGCCGAUUUCGAUUCAGGUCACGAUCUCACCGCUCAUGCGUUCGAGACCCGAGUCAGGCU